AGGGUCCUAUGAUGCACGUCAUAACUUAACGUUUUGAGCCAACACUUCAACAUUGGGAGCUACCUGUUUCAAUCUGAUUAACAUGCCCUAGUAAGAUAAUUAGGGAAGUUAGGAUGGUUGGACUGAGCACCCACCUGCCAUGGCAGGUUCAAAGCAAAGGUACAUCAACGGCAUACACGGGACUCUU
rnacentral:other from 1 species